GGGGCUGCAGCUCAGUGGUAGAGCGCCUGCCUCGUAUGCAUGAGGCACUGGGUUGGCUCCUCAGCACCA
rfam:Ictidomys tridecemlineatus contig056446, whole genome shotgun sequence.